GCAUUGAGAGCAUUCGGUGAGGUUGGUAUGCCAGAUAAUUACUUUGAUGUGUCCUUGCUUGGCCUCAGCCGAUAUCUGACGAUGUGAGUCAAUACGAGGCGAUGCAAUCAUUAUGCCAAACCCGUUUCAUUCUGCCAUAUUUUACGUGUGCUUACUGAAGUGAGAUGAAGCGCUGCCAAGUGAUCAACAAUACGUUGUGCUCAGUGACCAGGCUUAACAAUAGUCGAGAGUAGCAAACUUUGCCUAAUUUUCUUUUCCAUGCCCCAUGAAAAGAUCAAUACAUUGUACUCAGUCACUUUUAAGAUCAUUCCGCUAAUUUGUCUCCGCAGUGAACGAAUGCGGCAGGACCAUUCAACUUACGGCUGACCUCUCCAAGUCAAGCAUCUUAAUUGUGUACUCACACCCUGGAUUCGGGUGCAAGGCAUUCCCCGACGGUCCGGCCUACAACUGCACCGUUACUUUCACAUCAACCUUUUCUAAUUUUGGGUAUCAAUUUUUUGGAAAAAAAUUCGAUACUGCCACUGCCUGCGACGGCUACUCGCUGCGCGUUACUGACGGUACCAAGAUCGACGAAGAUAUCUGCACUGAUAACAAGGGCGGAAAAGGCAAUACAACAAUCACUCUGCAAGGCCAGGCGCUGGCCAAGACCUUCAAGGCGGGGUUCUACUUGAGAUUCACGAAGUAAUUGUGACCCGUUUGCCCCCAUCGCCACCCCACGCGUCCCUCCAUCUCAGCAACAUCACAUACAUGAUCACGGCAGCCUUCACCUCGAGUGGGGGAUUACAAUUCCACACAAACUAAAUUUUAUAUUCUUCUGAAGUCAUAUUUUUGAAGUUAGUUGAUGUGAGAGGGAUGUCACUCAGAGAGGGAUGUCACUUAGACGCAGAGGUAAUAUGAGCUGCAAUUAAAAAAAUCAGAAAUAGAAAAUGAUGGGGCCGCUGGACUUUUGGCAAUGCUGAACUUGCCAACCUUGAAGACGUGAUGUGAUUCCGCCCACGAGUUCUGUUACUUUAGCUGUGUGAAGUGGUGAUGCCAUGCACAAGUGCUGUUACUUUAGCUGUGUGAAGUGGUGAUGCCACGCACGAGUGCUGUUACUUUAGCUGUGUGAAGUGAGGCUGCCUCUUACAGAUGAAGCAAUAGUUCCUAAGAUUUUCCCAAGCUCGCAUAGAUAAGGAUUCCUAAUUUUUCAUAAAACAUGCGUCGGAUUGAAAUCCUAUAGGAUCCUAUUCUAAGUAAACAUAAAAUGUAAUAAGUGUUGAUCUCUUCGCAACAUAUUGAAGAUGAUUGAAGUUUUUAGGGAAAGUUCUCGUUAUUCGUUCUGUGUUUGGUUUAGAUUUAAGUUGUCCAAAUUAACAAGCUACCAUGUCUGCUGUUGUGUCGCUCCAUUUAUUCUAAAAUAUAUACCACAUAAGGCACAGCUUGUGUACUGAGUGGGUUUUCUUAAAGUUAGGCACAGGUUUUGUGUGUGUUUGAUACGAGCGAAAUGCUGUAUGAAUUGAUUCGACCUAGACAAUAUACAAUUGUGUUUGGUUAAAAUUCCAGCGUUUAGUUUAAAUUCUUCCCCUGCGGUCCCCGGCUUUGGGUCUAAAUUCCCUAAAUUUGAUCGUUUACUUGAUCAUAAUGACAGUAAUUGGUGUGAUGUAAUGGAGCAAUUCCCGUCCCUCCAUGCACAACCGUAAUGAGUGCAUUAUUUUACAUUAUUUUACAAUAUUUAACAUUAUCAUUUUACAUACCGCAAUUGUGCAUUAUUUUACAUUAUUUUAUGUUUUGGGCCAGUUGUUGCUCAUAAAUGCACUGCCAAUUAGAGUUUAAUUAACUCCCUCCUUCCGUGCCCUGGUAUUCACCAGCACCUUCCUGAUGCCCGCUUUUAAACAAAUCAGGCGGCGCAUUAUUCACGUACUCAUGUCUUACUCGCCACACGCUUUAUGUAACCGAGUCGUACCCGACGAGUAUUCUACUCAUCUGGCACUUUUCUCUUAUGUUGCUUUAGGUCUCACAUUAUAUUCGUGACAGCAAUAAAUGCGUUCAAUUCACAAGCCUUUUUAUCCCCUGCUCAAACAUUCCCCAUCAAGACACGUUGCCGACGAAGACAUGGAUUCGUUCUUAACUUCACGUCUAUUUAGUGUAAUGUUUGAUCAUCAUGUGAUCUGGUGAGAUCAAGUGAUCUGGGUGGCAAGAAGUGAGGAGCCAGAUCUUCGUCUAUGCGAUAAAUACUGUUUAGCUACCGUUUACAUGUUUGCCGUAUUGAACAUCUAUAAAUAUAUAAAAAACUUUAAAUCUUCCACUUUCCAUUGGUGUAGGAAUUAUUCAUUGUGAGUUCAUACUUAAAGCAAUAUAAAUUUAUUAAAUUG
rnacentral:lncRNA from 1 species